rnacentral:tRNA from 1 species
GGGGAUUUAGCUCAGUGGCAUAAGCACCUGCCUUGCAAGCACGCUGUCCUGAGUUAAAUCCCCA